AAUUCGGAGGCAAAUGAGCUGGCCCGACAAGAAUCCCCAAGAAGCCAAACAGAUUCAGAUCAGUCUCUCGGCAGCUACUGACGAUGUCGGCGAGUUGAAUCCAUCGAUUUUCACACAGAAAAUCAACAUCAAAAAAAUCACGACAAUUCAGCAGCGUCAUGGUCAACCUGCCGAUCAACCAUUCACAGUGAACAACCCCUAUUCGUAGCAGAAUGCGAACACAAUGUCAUCAAGCCGGAGUACCAUCCAGGAUCGAUCAAGUAUCGCAUUCAAUUGUUGUGCGUUGUGAAGAGCCACUGAAGCCUGGCACGUCCACUGAAUUGAUCCUCAAGCUUACUAACCCAACGAUGUACCAUAUGACCACAACCAUUAUGAAACUGCCAACCAAGGAAGAAGAACGGCGAAUGAUUACUUCGAAUAAAAGUUCAACGAAAGGAACCAAAAUUCACCACUUGGAGAAAGUCCAAUAACGUAACAAUCAAAUUGAACUUCACACCUGAAGAAGGACUGAAACCAGGCGAUGAUGUUACCCUUAGUUUUUUGAUGAAAUAUACUUUUGUGAAUACAUACACACGCCCGAAAAGAAAGAACGUCAAAAACACGCAUUAUCAUCGAAAGUUUUUGUAAAAGUUGGUCAAAUUGAAGCCUAGAUUUAUUUCUAUGUACAUAUAUCUAGAAAAUAAUCUUUUUUGCAAAAAACUUGUUUAUUUAUUUUGAGCUAUAGUGUAAUUUUGUAUAUAUU